ensembl:lncRNA
GUAUGUGCUCACCUGCGCUGCGCCCUGUAGGAGCCAGGUGACCGGGAUUAUCUGUAGACCGGCGGCACGUCCACCUUGAUGCGCAGCGCGCUGACCGGGUCCUGGCAGAACACCGAGAUGUAUUCCAGGACCUUGGAGUUCAUCUUCUUCUCGCCCUCCUUGGCUCGGUGCCGCUCCUUGUCCCAGCGCUCCUUCUCCCCGUUCAUCUGGGAGAACAGGUUCACCUGGAUGGUGCGCAGCGUGGCCGCCAGCACGUAGAAGCCGCCCUGCAGCAUGUGGCAGAAGGCGGCGCCCAUGCUCAGGGCCGCGCCCAUCAGGUUGGGCACCGUCUCCAGCACCACGCACAUGCCCUCCAGGAGGUGCAGCGUGCCUUUCCUGGCCAGCGGCGGGCCCUGGUGGACGUAGCCGUGCUGGGGGGGGGCCUGCUGGGCAUGGGUCACCAGGUAGCGGCAGCAGUCGGCGAAGUGCGCAGCGGCGCGGCGGAGCGGGAGCAGCGCCAGCAGAAGAUCCACAGCAGGGCGAUGCUGGCUGCCAGAGACGUCCACCAGUCCAUGAGCCUCCCUGUCCCUGUGGCACCGAGCAGAAAGACAGCAGAGAGCAGAGCAGCUGCCUUUACCAGGAUAAAUCCCAAACAUUAAGCAUCUCGGCAGGUGUCGAGCUGUUUGCAGCAGCGGAGCCUGAAAAGUCAACAGAGCAUUAAAGCUGCAGCUCCGAUGGUUCGGAGCCUCAGGAGGCCUCUGAUGUGACCUCCUUCAACCCCGAUCACUGGACAUCCAAAGCUUUCUACUGGAAUAAAGACCAAAGAACUACAGACUCUUCACAACCUGCUCAAACUCUUGGUACAGGACCUCACCACACGGAUCAAGAAGGUUGCUUUGUAGAACUGUUCCAGAAAACCUCACUAAACCACAUGGAGGGGCCUCAAGAUAGUCGUCCAAAUGAAACCGUACAAAAACCAAACU